rnacentral:rRNA from 1 species
AUUGAACGCUGGCGGCAUGCUUUACACAUGCAAGUCGAACGGUAACAGGCCUUCGGGUGCUGACGAGUGGCGAACGGGUGAGUAAUGCAUCGGUAAGUACCCAGCGGCGGGGGAUAACGCAGCGAAAGCUGUGCUAAUACCGCAUGUGAUCUGAGGAUGACAGCGGGGGACCGAGCAGCAAUGUUUGGCCUCGCGCCUUUGGAGCGGCCGAUGUCGGAUUAGCUAGUUGGUGGGGUAAAGGCCUACCAAGGCGACGAUCCGCAGCUGGUGUGAGAGGACGACCGGCCGCACGGGAGGUGGACCACGGCCAUGGCGCCUACGGGACGGCGCAGAGGGGAACUGUGGACAGCGGGGGCGAGCCUGGUCCAGCGAGGCCGCGUGCGGGACGACGGCCCUCGGGGUGGAAAGCGGUUUUGGGAGGAGCGAAACGGUGUCCGCUAAUACCGGGCUCUAAGGACGGUACCUUCAGAAUGAGAAACGGCUAACUACGUG